GAUGAACGCUGGCGGCGUGCCUAAUACAUGCAAGUCGAGCGAACAGACGAGGAGCUUGCUGCUCUCACGUUAGCGGCGGGCGGGUGAGUAACACGUGGAUAACCUACCUAUAAGACUGGGAUAACUUCGGGAAACCGGAGGUGAUACCGGAUGAGAUAUUGAACCGAAGGGUUCAAUAGUGAAAGACGGGUUUGCCGUCACCUAUCGAUGGGUCCGCGCCGCAUUGGCUAGUUGGUGAGGUAACGGGUUACCAAGGCGACGAGGCGUAGCCGACCUGAGGGGCUGAGAGGCCACACGGGAACAUAGACACGGUGCGGAGGCCUACGGUAGGCAGCGGUAGGGAAGUGGCGGCAAUGGGGGAAUGCCUGACGGAGUAACGCCGCGUCAGUGAUGGGGGUCUGCGGAUCUUAGAACUCUGUUCUUAGGGAAGAACAAAUGUAUAGGGAACUAUGGCCGGCUUGACGGUACCGGGUGAGAAAGCCCCGGCUAACUCCGUG
rnacentral:rRNA from 1 species